GACGAACGCUGGCGGCGUGCCUAAUACAUGCAAGUAGAACGCUGAAGAGAGGAGCUUGCUCUUCUUGGACGAGUUGCGAACGGGUGAGUAACGCGUAGGUAACCUGCCUUGUAGCGGGGGAUAACUAUUGGAAACGAUAGCUAAUACCGCAUAACAAUGGAUGACACAUGUCAUUUAUUUGAAAGGGGCAAUUGCUCCACUACAAGAUGGACCUGCGUUGUAUUAGCUAGUAGGUGAGGUAACGGCUCACCUAGGCGACGAUACAUAGCCGACCUGAGAGGGUGAUCGGCCACACUGGGACUGAGACACGGCCCAGACUCCUACGGGAGGCAGCAGUAGGGAAUCUUCGGCAAUGGGGGCAACCCUGACCGAGCAACGCCGCGUGAGUGAAGAAGGUUUUCGGAUCGUAAAGCUCUGUUGUAAGUCAAGAACGAGUGUGAGAGUGGAAAAUUCACACUGUGACGGUAGCUUACCAGAAAGGGACGGCUAACUACGUGCCAGCAGCCGCGGUAAUACGUAGGUCCCGAGCGUUGUCCGGAUUUAUUGGGCGUAAAGCGAGCGCAGGCGGUUUGAUAAGUCUGAAGUUAAAGGCUGUGGCUCAACCAUAGUUCGCUUUGGAAACUGUCAAACUUGAGUGCAGAAGGGGAGAGUGGAAUUCCAUGUGUAGCGGUGAAAUGCGUAGAUAUAUGGAGGAACACCGGUGGCGAAAGCGGCUCUCUGGUCUGUAACUGACGCUGAGGCUCGAAAGCGUGGGGAGCGAACAGGAUUAGAUACCCUGGUAGUCCACGCCGUAAACGAUGAGUGCUAGGUGUUGGAUCCUUUCCGGGAUUCAGUGCCGCAGCUAACGCAUUAAGCACUCCGCCUGGGGAGUACGACCGCAAGGUUGAAACUCAAAGGAAUUGACGGGGGCCCGCACAAGCGGUGGAGCACGUGGUUUAAUUCGAAGCAACGCGAAGAACCUUACCAGGUCUUGACAUCUCGAUGCUAUUUCUAGAGAUAGAAAGUUACUUCGGUACAUCGGUGACAGGUGGUGCAUGGUUGCCGUCAGCUCGUGUCGUGAGAUGUUGGGUUAAGUCCCGCAACGAGCGCAACCCCUAUUGUUAGUUGCCAUCAUUCAGUUGGGCACUCUAGCGAGACUGCCGGUAAUAAACCGGAGGAAGGUGGGGAUGACGUCAAAUCAUCAUGCCCCUUAUGACCUGGGCUACACACGUGCUACAAUGGUUGGUACAACGAGUUGCGAGUCGGUGACGGCAAGCUAAUCUCUUAAAGCCAAUCUCAGUUCGGAUUGUAGGCUGCAACUCGCCUACAUGAAGUCGGAAUCGCUAGUAAUCGCGGAUCAGCACGCCGCGGUGAAUACGUUCCCGGGCCU
rnacentral:rRNA from 1 species